AUGAUAUCAUUAUCACUGGUACUUCUUCUGCUGUUUGGCGUUCGGUGCUUUGAUUCAGCAGGUCAAAUAAACGACGACUCACCAUUAUUCAUUAGCACAUCAAUUGAUAAUUCAAUGAAUUUAAAAAUCUUGGUGGAAAAGAAACCAUAUUUUACGGGCUCUGUUACGGGUUACAAGCUCUAUUAUACAAAUGAUUCAAGUCAAACCAAUGAAGAAUAUGAGAAAUGGAUGCAUCAAGAAGCACUUUCAAAUCAGAAUUCAUAUAAUUUUGUAAUUGAUGCAAAUAAACAUGAAAUCGUGUCAGGAGAUGUAUAUCGAGUCAGAGCAACUGUUUUCUUCAAUAAUGUGGAAAGUGUUCCAACUGGAGUUAUUUCAAUCAAUACAAGACAAUCUAUUCCAAAAGCUCCAUUGAUUGUUAACACUAAAAUACUGUACAAUUCAUCUGUACUCAUUUCAUUUGUACCUGCUGAUGAUGUCAACGCUAUCGAGAACUAUACUUUGAUGUAUAAACAAAUGGAAGCGGAAGAAUGGAAAUCAUUGAAUUUCAAAUCUGAUUUUGAUGGAAAGGUUCUUCUCGAUGGCCUUAUUCCAAACCAUACUUAUGAAAUCAAAAUUUUUGUAACGGGUGGAAUAGUACAAGGAACUCCGUCAAAUUUGGCAACGUUCACAACAAAUUCAACUGCAUUGGCUCUCGUAAAAACAGAACCAGAUGAAGAAUAUACUGCUGAUCCUCAAACAAAUGAACCAUUGAGUAUUACAUGUACUGUUAAAUCAGUCAGUAAAGCAUCAGUUUUAUGGAAAGUUAAUGGAAUAAAAGUAUCCGUAGAUUCAAGUUUCUACACAGUUGUCACUUCAGUUCAUGAAGAUUUUAUUGAGUCAACAAUUCGUGCUAAAUCUAGAACUCGAUCUGCAAAAUUCACUUGUUUAGCUACAAAUGAUGCUGGGGACUCAUCAAAAGAAGUUAAUGUAAUCAUAAAAGGACCCGGAAGUCCUCCGUCUGAAAUCACACUAGUCGCAGAAAAAAGAGGUUACACAAUUUCAUGGAAACCUCCAUCACAUCCUAAUGGAAAAAUUACGAAAUAUGUAGUAUAUCACACAUUAAAUCGAGAAGAUCCAUUAUCCGAUUGGCGAAAAAUUGAUUUGGAUGGAUCUGAAAAGAUGGUUCGAAUAAUAAUGGAUACGGAAGAAAGUUUUUAUGGAAGAGUUCAAGCUGCAACUGAACUUGGUCCUGGAAUUAUUUCUGAUAUUGUGGCAAUGGAAAGAGAUACUCAACCAAUUUCCGUCGAGUCUGACCUUUUUGGAGUGUCUGCAACCACAAUGGUGGUGAAUCCACGAGAAACACUCUCGAUUCAAUGUACUGCACGUGGCAAGCCUCGUCCAUCAAUAUCAGUUGCAAUAAGUGAUCGAAAAAAUGCGAGUCAGGUGGAAGUUGAUGUUUGGAGUCGUUUACAAGCCACGUCAUCGGCUGGAAUUGUAUCUGCAGUACACAACUUUUCAGUGCUUACAUCAAAAUUCGUGCACUGUAGGGCAAAAAAUUCAGCAGGCAGCAAUUAUUCUACAAUGGAAUUGAAAGUUGAUAAACCAGGAGAUGCUCCAACUCAAAUUCAAGUGCUCAGUGUCAAUGCACUAGACGCUCUCGUAGUGUGGCACUCACCACAAUUUCCAAAUUCUCCGAUAACAAGUUACAUAGUUCUUGUGAGCAAUGAUGAUAAAGAAGACAAAAGUACAUGGCUUCAAUAUGAAUCGAACGCUAAGGAAACACAAAUCAAUAGAAUGCUUCUUCCAACUGGAAAUCUGGAAAAAUCAACAGAAUAUUUUGUAUGUGUUCGUGCAAAAAAUGCAGCAGGAAUUGGUCCAACAAGCAGUUUGAUAUCAUUUAUAACGUUGAAUGGAGGACCUGAUAGUCCUCCGGAUAACUUAAAAGUAUUGAUAAAUGAGGCAAAUCAAGUGAUUGUUUAUUGGAAUACACCUAAUUCUACGACUGAAGUUACUGGAUAUCUGAUCUACUACACCCGAGAUCUGAGUCUUUCAAAUGAUGAUUACAAAAAUUGGCAAUUUGUUGAAAUGAACAACAACUCAACUCGAUACAAAUUCGACUUAUCUGUCGGAUUGAAACCAAAAACGUUCUAUCGAGUUCGAAUAUCUGGAAAGAAUUCUCACGCCGAUGGACCAGCUAGUGAAGUUGUAGAGUUUGAGACUGCGUAUUCGGAAGUUCCGAUUCCAACCGAUUUAAAGACCGAAGUACUUGAUGAUAACACGAUUCAUAUAAAAUUCAAUGCAGUCAGAGAUCCUGAUGAUCAUUCUAAAGCUCUUGGUGAAUACCGGAUAGACUUGGCAGCAACUGAUGAUGUUCUUCACGCACUAUGGAAACAAAUUGAACCGAAGUCUAUUAAAAUUGAUGAGAUCAGUUCGAUGAUGUGGAAAUUGAUGGUGAUUCAGUUGAAAAAAAUCAAAUGUAUUGGGUUAAAGUGACUGCAAGAUUGGACAAUCCAUCAUGGGGAAUGCAUUCUUCGAAACCUAGAUGGUUUAGAACUGGUCAUGGAAAACUCAUGACGUCGGUUACACUGGAAGGUGCACCAUUAAUUGAAAAAGAGCCAAAUCUGUUUGAAGAACUGUCAGUAACAUGUACAGGAAUGGGAAGUCCAGCACCAAUUAUAACAUGGGAAUGGAUGAAUAAAUCAAUUGAAAAUGGAACUGAAGGAUGGAAUAUUUUAAAUAUUCAAAUUGAUGAUACAACUGUUGUCUCAAAAAUUACCAGAAACAAUAUUCGCGAGUCGGGAGAUUUAACCUGUUUGGCAAAUAAUAACGAAGGAAGUUCUUCUGCGUCUGUCGAAAUUCGAGUUUUGGGACCCGGAAAUCCACCAGAAAAUAUAAUUUUGACGGCAUACCGUAACCAAAUAAAUGUGACGUGGCAAGAGUCGACACUUCCGAAUGGAGAUAUAAUGAAGUAUAUUGUAUAUUACUCUGAAAAUGAAAAUGAUGAUUUAUCCGAUUGGAAUAAAUUUGAAACAGCAGAAUUGGAAACUUAUGUGGAAACAUUUGGACCACAUACUAAGCAUUUUAUUCGUGUUCAAGCUGUGUCUGAUCGAGGGCCCGGAAUCAUUUCAAAUGUACUUUCAUGCAUUUCUGAUGUGCUUUAUGAGACAAUACACUUGGAAAUAGUUGCAUCGAAUAUUCUUGAUUUCGAGGCAGAACCAAAUCAAAAUGUUGAGAUUCGAUGCAAAGGAACAGGAAAACCACAACCUGAAUUAUUCUAUCAGUUUGCGAAUGAAACAGAACAAAACUUUGUUGAAGUUGAAACAAAUGACAUGGAUUUGUUCGAAGCAAAAGCUCCAGAGAUUAAUUCAAGAAGGAAUGUUACAGUGACAUGCAGGGCAAGCAAUAAGUAUGAAAAUGUCACGAUAAGCAAAGUUAUUAUAAUCAAAAGACCCGGAGAAGCUCCAACAAAUAUCAGUUGGAGUUUUGAAGAAGAAUAUGACUCAACUUUAUAUAUAAAUUGGAAUCCAAUCGAGAAUGCAAAUGGAGAAAAACUAGAAUACAAUUUAUACCUGUCGAAUUACAAAACAAAAGUUUCAGGACCGCCUGUUAAAAUUCCUGAUAUUCCUCUCGAUGUCAACAUUUCACUUCGAGUAUCGGCAGAAAAUGAAUAUGGAGAAGGAGAAAAGACAUUUCCAAUAUGGAUUCCAACUCCAAAUGGAGGCCCAAAAACUGCUCCAAUUCUUUCUUCACUUCAUGCACAAGAUUCAAAAGUUUAUAUUUUCUGGGUAGAACCAAGACUUCCAAACGGAGAGAUUCAAAAUUAUACAAUUUAUAUCCAAAAAGAAAAUGAAUCAGAAAAUGAAGAACAUAGUAUUGAUAAGGAAUGGAAGAAAUUCAUUUAUGGCUCGAAUAUAACUCAUGUCAUAAUUGGUGUUGAUGAUGGUUUAGAAGAAAAUGAAAGAUAUCAAAUGAAAAUGACAGCAACAAAUCAAAGACAUGAAGGUCCUGAGACGAAGGUAUACACUUUCGAUUUGAUAUCCUUUGACGAGAAUGACGUCAUCGAUAAUUUCACAGCAAUUGUUAUCAAUUCAACGGUGUUCGUCGAAGUGGGAAAUCCCAUUUAUACAAAGUACAAUAUUUAUAUUCGAGAAGAUGGAAAUAAUCAGACUGUCAAACAUGAAAUUGAUGUGGAAAGUGGAAAGACAACAUUUGAAUUUCCAUUUCAGUUAGAUCAUACGUUGAGUUAUACAAUCAAAAUGUCUGGAAUGAAGCUUGGACGUGAAAGUCCUCCAUCCGAAGAGAUUGAUCUUGAAUUUAUAAGUUCACCGUCUCCAACUCCAAUAAUUUCCGGUUCCCGUCGAAAAGUGAUCAAGGAGCCGCCACUAUAA
rnacentral:misc_RNA from 1 species